rnacentral:rRNA from 1 species
GCAUGGUUCUAAAGUGAAAGAUGGUUUUGCUAUCACUUAUAGAUGGACCCGCGCCGUAUUAGCUAGUUGGUAAGGUAACGGCUUACCAAGGCAACGAUACGUAGCCGACCUGAGAGGGUGAUCGGCCACACUGGAACUGAGACACGGUCCAGACUCCUACGGGAGGCAGCAGUAGGGAAUCUUCCGCAAUGGGCGAAAGCCUGACGGAGCAACGCCGCGUGAGUGAUGAAGGGUUUCGGCUCGUAAAACUCUGUUAUUAGGGAAGAACAAACGUGUAAGUAACUAUGCACGUCUUGACGGUACCUAAUCAGAAAGCCACGGCUAACUACGUGCCAGCAGCCGCGGUAAUACGUAGGUGGCAAGCGUUAUCCGGAAUUAUUGGGCGUAAAGCGCGCGUAGGCGGUUUCUUAAGUCUGAUGUGAAAGCCCACGGCUCAACCGUGGAGGGUCAUUGGAAACUGGGAAACUUGAGUGCAGAAGAGGAAAGUGGAAUUCCAUGUGUAGCGGUGAAAUGCGCAGAGAUAUGGAGGAACACCAGUGGCGAAGGCGACUUUCUGGUCUGUAACUGACGCUGAUGUGCGAAAGCGUGGGGAUCAAACAGGAUUAGAUACCCUGGUAGUCCACGCCGUAAACGAUGAGUGCUAAGUGUUAGGGGGUUUCCGCCCCUUAGUGCUGCAGCU